rnacentral:misc_RNA from 1 species
UCCGAUUUAUCAUCGGCAGUCUCGUUAGAGUGCUCAACUAAAUGGUAGCAACUAACAAUAGGGGUUGCGCUCGUUGCGGGACUUAACCCAACAUCUCACGACACGAGCUGACGACGGCCAUGCAACACCUGUAUACACCCGGCCGAACCGAAACAACCUGUUUCCAGGAAGUAUAAUGUAUAUGUCAAGGGCUGGUAAGGUUCCUCGCGUAUCAUCGAAUUAAACAACAUGCUCCACCGCUUGUGCGGGUCCCCGUCAAUUCCUUUGAGUUUUAAUCUUGCGAUCGUAAUCCCCAGGCGGUGUACUUAUCGCGUUAGCUAAGUCACCGAACAGUAAACUGUCCGAUAACGAGUACACAUCGUUUAGGGCGUGGACUAC